CCUACGGGGGGCUGCAGUCGAGGAUCUUCGUCAAUGGGCGAAAGCCUGAACGAGCGAUGCCGCGUGUGCGAUGAAGGCCUUCGGGUUGUAAAGCACAAAAGUGAAAAGAUCGAUUCACAGUAAGCUCGGGCUAAGUUCGUGCCAGCAGCCGCGGUAAGACGAACCGAGCGAACGUUGUUCGGAAUCACUGGGCUUAAAGGGCGCGUAGGCGGGUGCUCAAGUCUGUGGUGAAAUCCUCCAGCUUAACUGGAGAAUUGCCAUGGAUACUGGGUGUCUCGAGGAAGAUAGGGGUAUGCGGAACGAUUGGUGGAGCGGUGAAAUGCGUUGAUAUCAAUCGGAACUCCGGUGGCGAAGGCGGCAUACUGGAUUUUCUGACGCUGAGGCGCGAAAGCCAGGGGAGCAAACGGGAUUAGAUACCCUUGUAGUC
rnacentral:rRNA from 1 species